rnacentral:misc_RNA from 1 species
AUCUCUCAACUACAUCAAUCUUUCUGGUUUGGUGUAGCCUUUGGAUGUGGGGGUUUUAUUUUGCUGGCCUCUAUUAAACGAGGUCAGCUCCCCUGAAAUUUAUUAGCGGUAUCUGAGCAGAGACCUACUACAGGUGUGAUAAAUUAUCUAUGCCUUGGUAAUGCUGCAUCAACAGAUUGUGCUGCUUCCAGUGAAUCAUUUGACAA